UCAAACACACACGCACACACACAUACAGUGCUAUACAGAGUGUGAAACAGCUUAAUACAGCUGUGCUGCUCUGAACCAGCUCUGGCCUGCACUGUGAGAACACUGGCUGCAGUUCAACAUUCCUUCUGCUCUUUGGUUCGUCUGCUGCCAAGAACACACUGCAGAGGAUAGCUCCCACCACAGGCGCUCAAUCAUAACAUUCACACACACUUAAAGUAAUCUACUGUAAAUACGCAUAUCUGAUAUCACGUAGCUACCUUCAGGAAGACGAGACCUUUUCAGCGGAAUCAAGCCUGAACCUGAGAGGAGGAGUGCAGGUCAAUCCUUCGCAGCAACUCUCUGGCUGAGCUCCUGAAGCCUUCCAUGUUUAUAAGGGGCUCCAUACUGUCAGCCUCCCCCUGUUUCGCCAUUAGACCAGGCACUCCAAGGGACAUGGCUUCAUGGACAAAGACAAAUAAGUCUGCAAUAUGAAUGUAGCAGCCUUCCGAACCUCCUCACUUGUAUCCUCUGUGAGGAGGGUUAUGAUGAGGGGAAGGCCUCCACACUGCAACAACUGGGACUGGUGCUCCUCUACAGACAGGAAGAAACACACAGUU